rnacentral:rRNA from 1 species
UACGGAGGAUCCGAGCGUUAUCCGGAUUUAUUGGGUUUAAAGGGUGCGCAGGCGGGAGAUUAAGUCGGCGGUGAAAUUUUGCAGCUCAACUGUAAAAGUGCCUUCGAAACUGGUUUCCUUGAGUGUGGAUGAAGUAGGCGGAAUUUGUGGUGUAGCGGUGAAAUGCAUAGAUAUCACGAGGAACUCCGAUUGCGCAGGCAGCUUACUAAACUACUACUGACGCUCAGGCACGAAGGCGUGAGGAUCAAACAGGAUUAGAUACCCU